rnacentral:rRNA from 1 species
UACGUAGGUGGCAAGCGUUGUCCGGAAUCAUUGGGCGUAAAGCGCGUGUAGGCGGCCUUGUAAGUCCGUUCUGAAAGCCCGGGGCUCAACCCCGGGAGGCGGAUGGAUACUGCAAGGCUCGAGUACGGAAGAGGCGAGUGGAAUUCCCGGUGUAGCGGUGAAAUGCGCAGAUAUCGGGAGGAACACCAAUGGCGAAGGCAGCUCGCUGGGACGUGACUGACGCUCAUGUACGAAAGCGUGGGGAGCAAACAGG